GGCCGGGUGGCCUAAUGGUAAGGCGUCAGAUUUCGGUUAUCUUUAACCUCUGAAGAUUGCGCGUUCGAGUCGCGUCUCGGUCG
rfam:TPA: Aspergillus nidulans FGSC A4 chromosome VII